CACAGAGGCCAUUUUCCCUACUUUUGGUAAGAUAUGCUUUGUCAGUUGACCAUGUAGAUUUUAGAUUUUGGUCUUGUUUACCUGUGGAAUGAAUGUAACUUGAAUUCCUAUUCUCCUCUGCUCCUCCUUCUGUUCUCGGUGUGAGGUGUGCUCCAUUAUCUAUUACAGCGACGGCAUAACACAAGGAAAUUUGUUGAAGUUUGGUUCUGCUCAUUAGUUCUGGUUCCUUUGUGUUGUGGAUCUUUCUGUUAUUGAGUCUGCAACGAUUCUGACACAGAGUUCAUCUUCUUUGCUUUUGAAAGGCACUGUCGGACAAAGUAAUCUAGAAUAACUACAUGUUUACGGUUGGAGCUUCUUAUAUCUCCCUUUUACAAGCUGUCACGGUUAAAUGCUGCUUGCCAUACGCUUCGUUACUCUGUGAAGUAGUCGACGAUGGAACCGUACUUUGUGGAGUAGAAAUUGAAUUGCCCCUCUUGAGUUUUCAGACCAGCCCACGGCAGCUCUUUUUCUGGUCAUGUGCUGACAUAGGGUGUACAGCCGCUUAUGAGGAGGCUGCUCUUCAGGCUGUCACCUGCCUUCAAAGCAUAUACGGUUUCAUUGUGGUUGAUUACAGUUUUCAGAGGUUAGCUCUUUCAAAUAAUUUACACAGGUGGAGGUGAGGGGAGGGGGGCAAAGAAAGAACAGAAGAAAACCCCAACCCCCCCCUUCCUUUGCUAGGUUGAACAUAGCUCCUGACUCUUUAUAUUUGCCAGGUCUCAGUACAAGUGUUAGGGACGAUGCUUUGUAGUUCUAUAAUCAACAUGACGCACAAUGCCAGCAUUGCUUCAGGCAGCCUAUACCGCUUAAAUUAUUUGUUCAGUUUUCAAUUCAAAUGUCGUUUUGCACAUGAUCGCCUGCUGUGUUGUGAAUAGUUUGCAUUGUUAAACACCACGCUGUUGCUUAAUGGAUGCUACUUAUUUGUUCCUUGCCAUUGAUUUUAGAUGAGGCGAAAAAAUAAAUAAGGAAAAUUAAAUUUUUUUUUUUGCCUAUUCACAUUUCCUUUUCUAUCGCUGUCUUGACUUGGCGCAACCUUUUUUCGCAUUGUCUAUUUCUUUUUCACGCUCUGCUCACGAUUGGUCCCUAUGUAAACCCAUGAUCCUCCUACUGAUAGCUAAUGGAGCCGCAUACAAUUCGAUCAUACAACAACGUUGACGCUGCGGCACCAUCUUCGUCUUCGCACUCCACACAGUCCAGGAGUAGAGCUCGUAGAAAGCGAAAUGAACUUGCAGAAGACGCUGCACAGCACUGCCCCUUAAUUCUAAACCCAACUGAAUGCCGUCGUAGACGCCGAAAAUUAUUGGACCAACAAAGAUUGGCUAUAACAGGAUCAUUAGAUAGCACCAGUCAAUUAUUAGAAUGUGGACGAUUCAGCCAACAUUACAUUGAUGCACUAAAAGAGUUUGAAGAUGACAUUCGAUUCGCUCACCACACUCCAUCCAAAAUCCAAGCACUCAGUAGUUUGUGUCCGUGUAUCGCGCAAAUGGGAAUACCGUGGUGGCACCGAUGAUGGACCGAUACUCCACAUAGACCUUGUUCUCGUCGAUGAGAAGGUUAUGUUAUAUCCCUUCAUUCUUUCCCUACACUGCAUUAUAAUGUUUCUUUCCAUACCUUUUAUCCAUAACUCCCACUGCAUUUGCACACAUACUUUUACAAUAAUCAUCUCAAGAUUUGAACCCUCUAACUUCCAUUAUAAAACACUAGGGAGAUGCCAUAUAUGCUGAAAUACCAAGCUCCGAAAUAGAUGCUAUCAGCACUUUAAUCCAAGAAGGUGGCAUCUAUGUUAUCAGUCGAUUUAGAGUAUCAAGGGUGAAGUCUCUAUACAGGCCAGUUGACGCGCCUUACAUGAUUGAAUUCACAUGCUACACCAAAGUAUCUCCAGCAAGACAUGUAGCUGAAACAUUCCCAAGAUACGUCUAUAAGCUCACACCUUUUGCUGAGCUACCAAAAUACGCUGGUGAAAACAAACACUUCCUAGAUGUGCUUGGACUAAUCUCUGAAGUCUCUGAGACAACCUUACUGCAACUCCCAAACCAAUCAAGUGCCACUCUAAACAGAAACAUAAUCCUGAAGGAUCUGAGGUAAACAAGUUAUCUUCCUACAAUUAUAACUUCCA